AGAUUAAAGAGAAAAGACCAGACUCAUUUUGACUCUUAAAUAAAUAUUAUUAAAUAUUUUUCUCAAAUAAAUAUAUGCAUAGAAUGUAGUAAACGAUAUAUUUCAUUCCCCCAGGGCAUGCAAAAUGGAACACAGACUCCCUGUUCAAAGUAUCUGCGAAAUAUACUACUGCUAAAAUUACUAUUCUCUCUUUAUAAAAUGAAAAGAACCUGAUUUAAAAAGCUGGACCUAGUUAAAACCAGAAGCCAAGCCUUUCUUUACACCUUAAAAAAAUAUUUCAUUGAUUCCUCACUGAGUGUCAAUCAACGCCAGCUUUUAUCCACAUCUUCACGAAGAGGAGAACAUUGAAGAGAAAUCUCUUCGAAGUACUUGAGUAUUUGAAACCAACACACCUUGGCAUUUCACCCAAGCUCUUCUAUGUACCUGAAGCCCCCGGGAACCGCACAGGAAGGAAAUCUCUGGUGUUAUUAUUGGUCAAAAUGGCAAACAUCUCCAGCAGGGAUGGCCAAAUGGCAACGUACAGAGCAGCUGCUUUUCAGUGUAAAGACUGAGGACUACCGGAGUCUCAGGCAAGAAAAGAAUGGAAGAGGGGGAAAGGGACCCUCUGAAUGCUGGCACAUGGGAGAAGGCAUCCCCCCAAUUUAUAAUAAAUGAAUGUUGGAGUAAAUCUCUUCAUUAUCCAGAUAAUCCAGAUAGAGAAGAGAAUUUACGCUCCAAAGUAAUCAUUUGUUUCUUCAGCCACGAAAUCCCCAAAGACUCUGCUUCCUGAACAUUCUCUCCAAUGGGCCAGACCUUUGCUGACCGGCUUCGCACAUGGGUGACUUCAGCAGACAGACUCCACAGAGCCAGCAGCCCAAAAGAAACACAGAGCAGCGCUGCCCCGAAGCUGGUGGGUGGCCUUGGCUAGUGGAAGCAACUGAGGCAGGAGCCCAUUAAAGGUGUUAAUUUUACAUGACGUGGCACGGCAAGUCUAUAAAUAAAUAACAAAUGAACAUUCCCCA
rnacentral:lncRNA from 1 species